AUGUUUAAAAGAAGGAGAAGGAGGCGGCAGAAAUCGGUAGUGUGCCACACAGAACCGGGCCUCUGCCCCAGUGCCACUGCGACGGACGUCUACAACGUCAUCCGCUCCCAAAAAGAAGACGACCUGUCCACCACGCGACCGCAGACCAAAAACACCUCCUUCUUGUGCUCCUCUCCUGACACUCCAACCGGCGACUACGACAACAUGGGGGGUCGCGACACAGAGAGCGGCUUCGUAACGUUGGCCAGCACAGAAAGCGGAUUCCUCAACUAUGACCUCAACAACCUUAGCCUCGGGCGCCGCGGUACGACCGACAUGUACGACAGCAGCUCGGGUCGCUCUGGGAAGACGGAGGGAUUCGACCGCAGCCUGGGUCGCUCGACGAAGACGGAGGGAUUCGACCACAGCCUGGGUCGCUCUGGGAAGACAGAGGGAUUCGACCGCAGCCUGGGUCGCUCGACGAAGAUGGAGGGAUUCGACCGUAGCCUGGGUCGCCCAACAAAGACAGAGGGAUUUGACCACAGCCUGGGUCGCUCGACGAAGACAGAGGGAUUCGACCGCAGCCUGGGUCGCUCGACGAAGACAGAGGGAUUCGACCGCAGCCUGGGUCGCUCGACGAAGACUGAGGGAUUCGACCGCAGCCUUGAGCAGUCGGAGAAAAGAGACUCGUACGACACUAGCCUGUGGCGCUCGGACAACCAAGAGUUUUACAACAGAGCUCCGGGUAGACGCGCCACAAAGAGCGAGUUCUACGGCAGCGGCAGCUUCGUAGAGCAGGAGAUGUAUGGGUUCAGAAGAGAGAAAAGUGACCUUUACGACCCUUCCCUCGGUCCGGAAGCGAACAUGAUCAAGGCCGACCUGUACCAGACAUAUAUGACCAACGGCAAAGAGGGCUCGUACCAGACCAGAUUGGGAAACUACGGAAGUCAGAAUCCCUACCCAAAAAACAUUGAUUGCUACAGAAGUGACCUUGGCUUCACUGGCAGCCGACGUUAUUUCAAUGAAGCACAAUGGGUCAAUAGUGAGGGCUACUGA
rnacentral:lncRNA from 1 species